UGGGGAAUUUUGGACAAUGGGCGAAAGCCUGAUCCAGCCAUGCCGCGUGAGUGAAGAAGGCCUUCGGGUUGUAAAGCUCUUUUAGUCGGAAAGAAAGAGUUGCAAUGAAUAAUUGUGAUUUAUGACGGUACCGACAGAAAAAGCACCGGCUAACUACGUGCCAGCAGCCGCGGUAAUACGUAGGGUGCGAGCGUUAAUCGGAAUUACUGGGCGUAAAGGGUGCGCAGGCGGUUAUGCAAGACAGAUGUGAAAGCCCCGGGCUUAACCUGGGAAUUGCGUUUGAAACUACAAGACUAGAGUGCAGCAGAGGGGAGUGGAAUUCCAUGUGUAGCAGUGAAAUGCGUAGAGAUGUGGAAGAACACCGAUGGCGAAGGCAGCUCCCUGGGUUGACACUGACGCUCAUGCACGAAAGCGUGGGGAGCAAACA
rnacentral:rRNA from 1 species